AUUGAACGCUGGCGGCAUGCCUUACACAUGCAAGUCGAACGGCAGCACGGGAGCAAUCCUGGUGGCGAGUGGCGAACGGGUGAGUAAUAUAUCGGAACGUGCCCAGUAGUGGGGGAUAACUGCUCGAAAGAGCAGCUAAUACCGCAUACGACCUGAGGGUGAAAGGGGGGGAUCGCAAGACCUGUCGCUAUUGGAGCGGCCGAUAUCAGAUUAGCUAGUUGGUGGGGUAAAGGCCUACCAAGGCAACGAUCUGUAGUUGGUCUGAGAGGACGACAAGCCACACUGGGACUGAGACACGGCCCAGACUCCUACGGGAGGCAGCAGUGGGGAAUUUUGGACAAUGGGCGCAAGCCUGAUCCAGCAAUGCCGCGUGCAGGAAGAAGGCCUUCGGGUUGUAAACUGCUUUUGUCAGGGAAGAAAUCCUCUAGGUUAAUACCCUUGGGGGGAUGACGGUACCUGAAGAAUAAGCACCGGCUAACUACGUGCCAGCCGCCGCAGUAAUAC
rnacentral:rRNA from 1 species